UACGUAGGGGGCAAGCGUUGUCCGGAAUCAUUGGGCGUAAAGAGCGUGUAGGCGGUCAGGUAGGUCCGUUGUGAAAACUCGAGGCUCAACCUCGAGACGCCGAUGGAAACCAUCUGACUAGAGUCCGGAAGAGGAGAGUGGAAUUCCUGGUGUAGCGGUGAAAUGCGCAGAUAUCAGGAGGAACACCGAUGGCGAAGGCAGGUCUCUGGGCAUUAACUGACGCUGAGGAGCGAAAGCAUGGGGAGCGAACAGG
rnacentral:rRNA from 1 species